rnacentral:rRNA from 1 species
GACGUAGGGUGCGAGCGUUGUCCGGAUUUAUUGGGCGUAAAGAGCGUGUAGGCGGCCAGACAGGUCCGUUGUGAAAACUCGAGGCUCAACCUCGAGACGUCGACGGAAACCGUCUGGCUAGAGUCCGGAAGAGGAGUGUGGAAUUCCUGGUGUAGCGGUGAAAUGCGCAGAUAUCAGGAAGAACACCUAUGGCGAAGGCAGCACUCUGGGACGGUACUGACGCUGAGACGCGAAAGCGUGGGGAGCGAACAGG